CAGGCAAUAUUUUCUAUACUGACUCAGGAGUUAGUUACCAGGUGUGGAAAAUUAAACAUUUUAAAAAGCAGGUAAUAAAGAUUGUAAGGAGACUCCAGAGGAGAUGUGGACCAUUGGGAACACCAGGCUUGGAAAUGCUUCCACUUUUGCAGGUAAUUUUUCCUUGUGAUGGGUUUUCUACUAUUCAGCAGUACUGUCUGAAUCUUGGGAGAACACUCCUGUUCUACGCCUAAGAUCCAUCAAGGAGUCUUCAAGCCCUGAGGUGAAGCAUUUGAAGUUUGGGAUGGGUCAGGAGGUCUGCUGUCAGAGGGAGGUGAAGAGGUGGUCACAGAGACAGGUGGAGCAGAUCAGGGAACAAUAACUGCCUGGGCCACGAUGGUGCUGUAAGAAUGAUCACCAGCCUCUCUCGUUUCUGUUCUGGACCUUGAGGAGCCAGGUCAUUGGGGGAUAAGUGUAUGGCCGGAGGCAAGAUCAAGGGAUGAGGAAGGCGUAUCUCAGCAAGUUCCGACUGUGCCCUCCCUUCAAGCACAAGUACCAGCUCUUCAUAUUGGAUGGUGUUGCAACGAGAUCUAGUUCUGGGGAGCCCCAGGGCCAAUUUUAUCAAAGCUCGUGCUGGGACAGGUAAAGUUCACUUCCUGAGCCAGCUAAAUCCAUUGUCCCAGAGAGGAGAUUCAGUACUCUGCAGGACAGUUUGAAUUCUUGUUAUGUUUCUUGGCACCAGACAUUCCCUGUUGUGAAUGGGUGUUUACAAGGCCUGGCAUACUUGACAGCAAGCUGGAACUAAAUUCUGUGCAAAGACUUCAGUUCUACAUCAGUCUGUUGUAAUAGAUUGGAUAAAAACUAUGGCAGCUCCAUUUAAUUUUUUUUUCAAGUGAAUUAAACAUGAAAAUGAAUAGUAA